AGCAGUCAGCAUAUGCGUCUGCCUGUUAUUCUCACCAAGGAUUGUAUUGAAUAAGAUGGUCUUCUACAACCAGUCAUAAAAUUAAAUAAAAACUUUUUUUUUUUAAUCAAGUUAAUAUACUUUUUGUUUCGUCAAUUUUACUGUUAAAUUGAUGUGAUCACUACUAUUUUUUUUAUCUUUUUUAUGUUAUGUUACAUUUAAUAUAAGAGAUACAUUUUUAUUUUGUGUAGUCUGAAAACGUUAAAGAAUUAUUAUAAUAAUACAAUACAAAGUGCUGUGUAGGAGUUGGCGCGAGAAGUAAAAAACCAAAAUCAAUUGUAAUUUUUUGUGUGAAAAUUUUUCGCACGUGAGUUUUCCGACAUAAUAUAUAUUACAACUCAUAUUUUCGUCUGUUAAAUAUAAAAUAUACGAACAGAAAAAUACAUGUUUGUAUCAAUAAUAAUUUAAUUAAUUAGUGUCUCGAGUUAAGUUCAGAGAAAAAGAAGCAGUUUAAAAUACACCAAGUGAUCCAAAUCUGUGAUUUACAAUAAAUUGUAUAGCAAAAUCAAAAAAAGGAAGCUAUUCUCGUUAAAUAAAUUUUUCUUGCUCAAGGGUGGAGCAAAACGGCCUCAAACUGUGGGGCUCUGGGGCGUUCUUUCUUCCUCCACAAGGGAUGUACUAUCCUCACGUGGUGCAGGCAAAUAUGGCUGCGCCUUACGCUGGGGGUGUAUUUCCAUCUCCAGUGAAUGGAGUGACGGGAGUUGUGGGAACAGCUACUGGAACUAGCGAAGUAAAAACUCUACCGCCGGCACCGGUUAAGGAAGACACACCUGGGACACAGCAGUCACCGACAGCUCCCGGUGGGCCUCAAUUGCAGAAUACACUUAGUAUGUCACAAACUGCUGCUGCUGCUGCUGCUGGAGCAUCAGCAGCUACAAACUUUAGUCCACCUCCACCGUCAAAUGCUGUUGAUCAGCAAGCAAUUUCUGAGGUAUUUCAAGCAGCAGUGGCGGCGGCAGCAGCAGCAGCCAAUGGUACUUCUCAACAAACAGCAGCAGUAUCAGUUAGUGUAAACGAAACAAGUACGGAUGGUAGCGUUGAAGGUAAUCCACUAGCACCCGUUACAUCGGGAACAACGACACCGUCAACAGUGGCACAAGGGACUGAUCUCAAAGGUCAACCAAAGCGAUUGCACGUCAGUAAUAUACCGUUUCGCUUUCGAGACCCUGAUCUCAGGGCAAUGUUCGGGCAAUAUGGCCCAAUCCUUGAUGUUGAAAUUAUCUUUAACGAACGUGGCAGUAAGGGAUUCGGUUUUGUAACAUUCGCGAAUAGUGCCCAUGCGGACCAGGCACGUGAGAGGCUACACGGCACCGUGGUUGAGGGCAGAAAGAUUGAGGUUAACAACGCAACAGCAAGAGUUCAGACAAAAAAGCCACCGACAGUUCCAAACGUGUGCGUCCAGUGGCCAGAGGUUGCUGCAUUGAGAGGUGUUGCUAUUCAACGAGGAAGAGUUGGAGCUGCAGCCAGAGCUACUUUUCCUCCAGGAGCAGCUGCUUUGACUCUUGCUCGUAAUCCAGGACCACUUGCAGCAGCCGCUGCUGCGACUGCCCUUCACCCUUUUGCGCCUACUGUCUACUAUGAUCCGUUCUUAGCAGCACAUGCAGCGUCACAAGAUCCUAAUUACAGACUACAGGCAGCAGCAGCAGCAGCGGCAGCAGCGGCAGCAUCUUCACCACUUCUAAAGACACCACUAUCAACUGCCCAACAAGCAAAUUAUGCAGCAGCAGCUACGUAUACAGCAGUUGCAGCAAGAGCUUAUGGUGCAGCAGCAGCAGCAGCAGCACAACCACAAGUCGCUGGCUAUGCAGCAGUAGCUGGAAAUAAAUUUUUUCAUGGUCGUGCAAUCCGUAGCCGUAAAUAUGGUGAAUUACUCGAUAAUCCUGUUUCGAAUUGUUAAAUGUAUGGUCGUGAGUAUGCUGAUCCUUACCUUGGACAUAGUAUUGGACCAAUGACAAAUUAUGGGGCAACUGUGUAUAGGGGUAGUUACAACAGGUUCACACCUUAUUAAA
rnacentral:misc_RNA from 1 species